rnacentral:lncRNA from 12 species
GCCCCUGACUCUUCUUUCAGUCUCAUUGGUCCUUAUCUUCGUAUUUUGUUCAUGAUUCUCUUGUUUUAAGACAUAUUCCCUGAUCUCCUAAGACAUCCCAGCCUCUAUGAUUCUCCUUCCUAAUCUCUGUAGUAUCGCACCUGGCUGCUCUUACCCUGUUCUUGCCACUUCAUCUCUGCGUCUUGGUUCUGUUUCACCUGGAGGCCACCUCAGGCAGGAGGUGAAGUCUGUUCUGGGUUCAUGUACUCUGUUCUAGGUCCUUGAUGCUCACAGCGUGGCCUGGGCUCUAGUGGCGUUAGCCUCACCCAGCAGCUUGUUAGAAAUGGAGGAUCUCAGACUCUCCCCCAGACCUACUGAACCAGAAUCUGCAUUUUAACAGGAUCCCCAGAUUUUUGGCAUGUACAGGAAGUGACAGAAGCACCGCUGGAGGAUGGGGGAUGAAUAAUUUUCAUUGCAGAGCCGCUGGCGUGGAUGGAUGGAUGGAUGGAUCCACUCAAAGAUGGAUAAGAAAAGUAGCACGGAAACAGGUAAGCAGUGCAGGAAGCGGAAGGGCAACUAUGGCAAGCGUCAGCCUGGGGUUGGGAAGAACGUUAACAGAGAGUAGCAACUGAGGGAAGAACACCUUAAAUUGUUACCAGAACUAAGUAGAAAUAAAGAAAUUCUCAUCUCAGAUACA